CAUGCAAGUCGACCGGACCCUUCGGGGUUAGUGGCGGACGGGUGAGUAACGCGUGAGAAUCUACCUUCAGGAUGGGGACAACAGCGGGAAACUGCUGCUAAUCCCCAAUAAGCCGCAAGGUGAAAGAUUUAUCGUCUGAAGAGGAGCUCGCGUCUGAUUAGCUAGUUGGUGGGGUAAAAGCCUACCAAGGCGACGAUCAGUAGCUGGUCUGAGAGGAUGAGCAGCCACACUGGGACUGAGACACGGCCCAGACUCCUACGGGAGGCAGCAGUGGGGAAUUUUCCGCAAUGGGCGCAAGCCUGACGGAGCAAUGCCGCGUGAGGGAGGAAGGCCUUUGGGUUGUAAACCUCUUUUCUCAGGGAAGAAGACAGGACGG
rnacentral:rRNA from 1 species